CAUGUUUAUGUCAGCCAAGUGCAAUAUACUUUAUUUUCGCUGUAAAUACUGUGUUAUUAUUAUAGAACUGGCAACAACAAACAAUGAUUGACGUUUAUAUCUGAUGAAUUAUAACAUAUUCUGUCCAACUUAUUAUACGUUAUCAAUUGCAAUAAAUAUAAUAAAAAAUACGUGAGAAAAGUGAAGGUCGUAUAUACUGAGUUUGAUGAAAAUAUCUUGGAAAACAGAAUAUUUACCAUAUCUACUGCUCGACCGAUCUUUCCUAAGGAAGCACAGUGAAACUGAUAAAUGUCGGGUUUCGUUUGGUCAACAUAAAAUUUGUUCACACGAGAAUCUACUUUUCGACCAAUCGUUCCUAUGACAGCUAUAUGAUAUAGUAUUCCGAUCCGGUCGACAUGUCGACUUUUUGAUUAAUGCACUGGCUGCAGAGGAAAUAUGGACCUAUGCAAAGUUUCGAGACGAUAGCUUUUAAACUGAGAGACUGCUUCUCAUGGAAUCAGACAGGUGGGCUUGGCUAUAUCAAUUGGCUGAUCUAGAAUAGAUAUAGCUUACGAGGUUGGAGAAGUCUCCUUAUAUGCGUUACAUAUUUAAUUACAAAAUUAUAAUAC